AUCAUAUUGGCAGAAAUAUGCAUUAGAAUUAGAAUCUAAUCAAACUUUAAAUCUCUUU
rnacentral:tRNA from 1 species